rnacentral:rRNA from 1 species
UACGAGAGGCGCAAACGUUAUUCGGAAUUACUGGGCUUAAAGAGUUCGUAGGCGGCGCAGAAAGUAGGGUGUGAAAUCCCUCGGCUUAACCGGGGAACUGCGUCUGAUACUGGAUGGCUUGAGAUUGGGAGAGGGAUGCGGAAUUCCAGGUGUAGCGGUGAAAUGCGUAGAUAUCUGGAGGAACACCGGUGGCGAAGGCGGCAUCCUGGACCAACACUGACACUGAGGAGCGAAAGCCAGGGGAGCAAACGGG